GUGUGUUAAUUUAAAUAUGUUUUUUUAUUGAGUUAAGCCUUACAAUUGAUAUUUUAUCGUGUAUCUGUUUCUGUAUCUGUAUUUCCCACUUCUGUAAAUGGAUGGGUACGUCACAGAUUCAUUUCGGCUAUUGUGUGACUGGUUGGUCUGUGCUUGAGGAGUGCGGAUGUAAACUCCUCUGUUGUAGUGACGCACACUACUGAAUCCUCUAGAUGGUUCCAAUCUACCGCAGUGUACACAAAGAUAGAGUUUUGGUACUGGUCAGUCGUGUUGUUUGGAACUAUGACCGCUCGUUUGUUGUUACUGACUUGUUGGUCUAUAAUGUUCUUGGAUACAGAGUUAUCAAAUGUUUUUGCUUUUAUUUGCCGUUUGGGUCUGUGGAAUUUAAUAAGAUCGUCUGGUGGAAGCGCUGGUAUCUUCCCCUCAAACACUUUGAAAAAGAAAAUCAGUCGUUGUUGUUGUCGUCUUGAUUGCAGUGACGGAAGCUGAAGUUGCGAUGACAUUUUAGUCAUACAUCCUUCAUCCCUUGAUUUGUAGUCUUUUGUCAUAAAUCUCGCUCCUCUUUUUUGUAUAGAUUCCAAUUUAUCAAUGUCUUUUUGGGUAUAUGGGUCCCAAAUAAUUGCACUAUACUCCAUAAUAAAUCUUACGAGAGCUAUGUAUGCUGUUUUCCGGCAUUCGAUAGGGCAAUGUUGUCAAUUUCUCCUAAGGAAGCCUAGCAUGGAACUGGCUUCGUUGCAUGGGUUUGUUAGUUGUUCCUUUCAUUUAAGAUCUUCCUGAAUUUGUAGCCCCAGAUUGUUACUUGUUCCAGAGUGUGGUUUUUUAGGUUGUAGAACCGAUGGCUUUUACUUUUCGGGCUAAACAUAUAGCAUUUUUUGGCGUUGAAGCGCAUAUCCCAUUCGUCUGCCCAUUUUUCCAGUGAUUUUAGGUCCUCUUGUAGUUUGUUGUGGUUUUCUAUGUUGUGAUAUUAUGCUAUUGUUUCAGAAAAGGGAGAAGGUUUGGUACCUUUAAUCCAGCUGCAAAUGUUUGCACCUGUCCUAAGUCAGGAAUCUGAUGUACAGUAGUUGUAGUUUGUUUAUGUUAUUUAUACGUGUUUCUCGUUUCUCGUUUUUUAUAUAGAUUAGUCCGUUGGUUUUCCCGUUUGAAUGGUUUUACACUUGUAAUUUUGGGGGCCUUUAUAGCUUUUUGAUCGGUGCGAUCCAAGACUCCGUGUUGAAGGCUGUUCAUUGACCUAUAAUGGUUUACUUUUAUAAAAUGUUAUUUGGAUGGAAAGUUGUCUCAAUGGCACUCACACCACAUCUUCCUAUAUCUAUGUAUAUUAUUGUUUAUCUGUUUGUUCUUUUCAUUUUUAGACAUGGCGUUGUCAGUUUAUUUUCGAUUUAUGAUUUUGACUGUCCCUCUGGUAUCUUUCGUUCCUCGUUUGUAACAAAAUGAAUAUUAUUGCAUUCUCUGGUCUAAAAUCGUAGCCUUUAGUCAAAGUUCAUAACCAUUUCCUG
rnacentral:lncRNA from 1 species